UACGGAGGGUGCAAGCGUUAUCCGGAUUUACUGGGUUUAAAGGGUGCGCAGGCGGAUAUGUAAGUCAGUGGUGAAAUCUCUAGGCUUAACCUGGAAAUUGCCGUUGAUACUAUAUAUCUUGAAUGCCGUGGAGGUAAGCGGAAUAUGUCAUGUAGCGGUGAAAUGCUUAGAUAUGACAUAGAACACCUAUUGCGAAGGCAGCUUACUACGCAGUAAUUGACACUGAGGCACGAAAGCGUGGGGAUCAAACAGG
rnacentral:rRNA from 1 species